AGUCGUAGAACGUACCCUGGCUCAGCUCCAAGUGGAGAAGGAAGGGAGAAGGGAGGGACAGGGAAAGCUAUGCUACUGUUGGGCAGGAGAGGUGGAAUAUAUUAAAAACCAGGGCGUAGACUCGUGUGGAAACUGAGGAGCUUUGGAAAAGACAAAUGAGGACCUGGGAACCGAGUCAGAGAGGGUCAGGAGGGAAUGGGUUGUAAACGCCACAGUAUGUUAAAAUGCUGAUGGAAAAGGCAAUACAAAGAGGAAAAAGCUGCAGGUCUGGCAGCAUCUGUGGAGAGAGAGAAGCAGAGCUAACGUUUCGAGUCCGUAUGACCCCUGGGUUGUUGAAGCUUGCGUUACUUAACGCCCGAAAGGAAGAGAAAAAGUCUUUUGUUACAGCGUCAGAUGCGCUGAAAGAAGAACUGAAACCGUGGACCAGAGCAGUUUGAGACAGGCCAGCAACUGAUCUGAUCGAGAUGAGUCAUAUACCACCUCUGUCUCAGUGCAGACAGCAGUGGGAAAGAGACAGAGCGGUGUGAGGUACAUUCCAAAGGCUGGGACAGGAUGUGAGACCGUGUCCAUGUCUGCUUCCACUUCUUGUUUUAAAUAAUCUUCUCAGAAUUAACUGUUUCAACACAUGUUUGUGGAUUUGCAGUGCUGUGAGGUGGGAAUGUUCCACUUCCGUAAUGUAUUGAAAAUCGCAAUGUGCAUUUUGCCCACUUGAGGAUAUCAUACACACAUGUACCAGCAAAGGGAGUCUGCUGGGAAGAAAUAAAGAAGGCUCCAUGUUUAACAGCA